rnacentral:rRNA from 1 species
UGGGGAAUAUUGGACAAUGGGGGAAACCCUGAUCCAGCAAUGCCGCGUGAGUGAUGAAGGCCUUCGGGUUGUAAAGCUCUUUCGCCCACGACGAUGGUGACGGUAGUGGGAGAAGAAGCCCCGGCUAACUUCGUGCCAGCAGCCGCGGUAAUACGAAGGGGGCUAGCGUUGUUCGGAGUUACUGGGCGUAAAGGGCGCGUAGGCGGCCCUUCAAGUCGGGCGUGAAAGCCCACGGCUCAACCGUGGAAUUGCGCUCGAGACUGGAGAGCUCGAGGACGGGAGAGGAUGGUGGAAUUCCCAGUGUAGAGGUGAAAUUCGUAGAUAUUGGGAAGAACACCGGUGGCGAAGGCGGCCAUCUGGACCGUUUCUGACGCUGAGGCGCGAAAGCGUGGGGAGCAAACAGGAUUAGAUACCCUGGUAGUCCACGCCGUAAACGAUGAGUGCUAGACGUUGGGGGACCUAGUCCUUCGGUGUCGCAGCUAACGCAUUAAGCACUCCGCCUGGGGAGUACGGCCGCAAGGUUAA